CAAGUCGAGCGAGCGGAACCACAGAUUUACUUCGGUAAUGACGUUGGGAAAGCGAGCGGCGGAUGGGUGAGUAACACGUGGGGAACCUGCCCCUAAGUCUGGGAUACCAUUUGGAAACAGGUGCUAAUACCGGAUAAUAAAGCAGAUCGCAUGAUCAGCUUUUGAAAGGCGGCGUAAGCUGUCGCUAAGGGAUGGCCCCGCGGUGCAUUAGCUAGUUGGUAAGGUAACGGCUUACCAAGGCGACGAUGCAUAGCCGAGUUGAGAGACUGAUCGGCCACAUUGGGACUGAGACACGGCCCAAACUCCUACGGGAGGCAGCAGUAGGGAAUCUUCCACAAUGGACGCAAGUCUGAUGGAGCAACGCCGCGUGAGUGAAGAAGGUUUUCGGAUCGUAAAGAUCUGUUGUUGGUGAAGAAGGAUAGAGGUAGUAACUGGCCUUUAUUUGACGGUAAUCAACCAGAAAGUCACGGCUAACUACGUGCCAGCAGCCGCGGUAAUACGUAGGUGGCAAGCGUUGUCCGGAUUUAUUGGGCGUAAAGCGAGCGCAGGCGGAAAAAUAAGUCUAAUGUGAAAGCCCUCGGCUUAACCGAGGAACUGCAUCGGAAACUGUUUUUCUUGAGUGCAGAAGAGGAGAGUGGAACUCCAUGUGUAGCGGUGGAAUGCGUAGAUAUA
rnacentral:rRNA from 1 species